UGGCUCUGGUUUCUCUUCUGCUUGCACCACGUCUUUCGCCUUUUACUAAGAAAGACUUCCGUGGAAGGGAACAAACAUGAGUUUGAAUAUAUUUUUGGCAGGCUUUGCUGUAUGGCUG